UCAAGGCCACGAUUAAUCAAUGCCAUUAAUCAGCACACAUUAAAGACUGCCUGCUUUUUACACACAGUGGAUCUAAAAUAUUCCUUCUUAAUCAGGUGACACUGAUAUCCCCAAGGCGACACGAACCUAAGUUACCGAAACCCUGCUCGCUAAGCAUACACGCCAUAUCAGAUUCUGUUUUUCGGAAUCUUUCAUUUACUUGCGUAGUGUGUACUUUAAAAAAUGCUUUGCGUAAACUAGACUUUGUACCUUGUCUGUUUGGCACUAUGCAUGUUCACCUGUGGGGUUUUGCCCCCCGGGAUCAAUAAAGUUAAUCUUAAUAAGGUAUAAAGACAAUAUGACCGUCCUUGUCACUUUACUAGGACACUUUCAAACUGUUUUUGUUAUAUUCUAUGCAAUAGGCCUACAUGCACGGCUGCCGCGUAUUACUCAUUUCUGGAAGUGCAGACCAUGCAUUUUAUAGUACAACUGUGUUGCAUCUUUUGGAACGAAAAAUACUAAUUUGGAGGUAUUCGUCUACCGCAGUUUUUUAGAACUUCAUUAUAACUCGUCGGUAGCGCCUGCUGUCCUCGUACGUGAGCUCAUGAAACUCGGACUCAAUUUCCCAUAACGCACUGCCAACUUCAAUUACGGUGAGUAAUGGCGUCGUUGGCUGUGACCUCUGGCUGUGACCGCUGGUUCUCAUCGUCGGCCGGGGGAUAUUCAUGGUGGCGCCGAGGCACUUACCGUGUACAA